UACGUAGGGACCAAGCGUUGUUCGGAUUUACUGGGCGUAAAGGGCGCGUAGGCGGCAUGGCAAGUCACUUGUGAAAUCUCCGGGCUUAACUCGGAACGGGCAAGUGAUACUGCCACGCUAGAGUGCAGAAAGGGCAAUCGGAAUUCUUGGUGUAGCGGUGAAAUGCGUAGAUAUCAAGAGGAACACCUGAGGCGAAGGCGGGUUGCUAGGCUGACACUGACGCUGACAGCGCGAAAGCCAGGGGAGCAAACGGG
rnacentral:rRNA from 1 species